GAUGAACGCUGGCGGCGUGCCUAAUACAUGCAAGUCGAGCGAACGGACGAGAAGCUUGCUUCUCUGAUGUUAGCGGCGGACGGGUGAGUAACACGUGGAUAACCUACCUAUAAGACUGGGAUAACUUCGGGAAACCGGAGCUAAUACCGGAUAAUAUUUUGAACCGCAUGGUUCAAAAGUAAAAGACGGUCUUGCUGUCACUUAUAGAUGGAUCCGCGCUGCAUUAGCUAGUUGGUAAGGUAACGGCUUACCAAGGCAACGAUGCAUAGCCGACCUGAGAGGGUGAUCGGCCACACUGGAACUGAGACACGGUCCAGACUCCUACGGGAGGCAGCAGUAGGGAAUCUUCCGCAAUGGGCGAAAGCCUGACGGAGCAACGCCGCGUGAGUGAUGAAGGUCUUCGGAUCGUAAAACUCUGUUAUUAGGGAAGAACAUAUGUGUAAGUAACUGUGCACAUCUUGACGGUACCUAAUCAGAAAGCCACGGCUAACUCCGUG
rnacentral:rRNA from 1 species